rnacentral:rRNA from 1 species
AUUGAACGCUGGCGGCAGGCUUAACACAUGCAAGUCGAGCGGAGUGAUGGUGCUUGCACUAUCACUUAGCGGCGGACGGGUGAGUAAUGCUUAGGAAUCUGCCAUUUAGUGGGGGACAACAUUCCGAAAGGAAUGCUAAUACCGCAUACGUCCUACGGGAGAAAGCAGGGGAUCUUCGGACCUUGCGCUAAAUGAUGAGCCUAAGUCGGAUUAGCUAGUUGGUGGGGUAAAGGCCUACCAAGGCGACGAUCUGUAGCGGGUCUGAGAGGAUGAUCCGCCACACUGGGACUGAGACACGGCCCAGACUCCUACGGGAGGCAGCAGUGGGGAAUAUUGGACAAUGGGCGGAAGCCUGAUCCAGCCAUGCCGCGUGUGUGAAGAAGGCCUUUUGGUUGUAAAGCACUUUAAGCGAGGAGGAGGCUCUCCUAGUUAAUACCUAGGAAGAGUGGACGUUACUCGCAGAAUAAGCACCGGCUAACUCUGUGCCAGCAGCCGCGGUAAUACAGAGGGUGCGAGCGUUAAUCGGAUUUACUGGGCGUAAAGCGUGCGUAGGCGGCUGAUUAAGUCGGAUGUGAAAUCCCUGAGCUUAACUUAGGAAUUGCAUUCGAUACUGGUCAGCUAGAGUAUGGGAGAGGAUGGUAGAAUUCCAGGUGUAGCGGUGAAAUGCGUAGAGAUCUGGAGGAAUACCGAUGGCGAAGGCAGCCAUCUGGCCUAAUACUGACGCUGAGGUACGAAAGCAUGGGGAGCAAACAGGAUUAGAUACCCUGGUAGUCCAUGCCGUAAACGAUGUCUACUAGCCGUUGGGGCCUUUGAGGCUUUAGUGGCGCAGCUAACGCGAUAAGUAGACCGCCUGGGGAGUACGGUCGCAAGACUAAAACUCAAAUGAAUUGACGGGGGCCCGCACAAGCGGUGGAGCAUGUGGUUUAAUUCGAUGCAACGCGAAGAACCUUACCUGGCCUUGACAUACUAGAAACUUUCCAGAGAUGGAUUGGUGCCUUCGGGAAUCUAGAUACAGGUGCUGCAUGGCUGUCGUCAGCUCGUGCCGUGAGAUGUUGGGUUAAGUCCCGCAACGAGCGCAACCCUUUUCCUUAUUUGCCGGCGAGUAAUGUCGGGAACUUUAAGGAUACUGCCAGUGACAAACUGGAGGAAGGCGGGGACGACGUCAAGUCAUCAUGGCCCUUACGGCCAGGGCUACACACGUGCUACAAUGGUCGGUACAAAGGGUUGCUACCUAGCGAUAGGAUGCUAAUCUCAAAAAGCCGAUCGUAGUCCGGAUUGGAGUCUGCAACUCGACUCCAUGAAGUCGGAAUCGCUAGUAAUCGCGGAUCAGAAUGCCGCGGUGAAUACGUUCCCGGGCCUUGUACACACCGCCCGUCACACCAUGGGAGUUUGUUGCACCAGAAGUAGGUAGUCUAACCGCAAGGAGGACGCUUACCACGGUGUGGCCGAUGACUGGGGU